GCGGUGCCUGCGGGCGGGGCAGUGCCCAGAGCCCCCUGGCUGCACCUCCACGUUACGGGGGGGACCUGCCCUCUGCUUCCCGGAGCUGGUCGAGGUUGAUAGAUGGAAAGCUCCAGUCCCUGAAGAUGGACCUCAGGAUGCUGCUCUUCACAAAGCACUCAUGAUUCUUGGAGAAAUUCUUGCUGAGCUGAUUGGCCAAUUGAUUCUGUGCACCUGGAACGUAGACAGCUGCAGUAAUGUCUUUCUUGAUGUAAAAGUGCCAAAACUUUAUCACUUCCCAACAGAACUGAUUGAAGUGGUUUGUUGAACUGGUUUGUUCACACACUAUGUUGCAGUGGUAUUGUCAAGAUUUAUAUAAACAGACGUGCCCCUGAUGUGAGAGAGAGAAAACCCGGCACACAUUGUAAAUCACUCAAAGUUCAAGGACCUUAAUAUAUAAUGAUGCUUCCUGUUCUGUCCUCAAAGACUCCAAAUGCACUCCCCAAUCUAUCGUCGAGGCAUCAGUAACUAUGGUCCUGGUCAGUAAAGGACAAGUGAAAAACUCUCUCACAUACAUUGUUCUGAUCUGUCCACCGCUCUAACGACUGCAGGACCACUGGAGGCACUCAGACUAGGCUGUUGGACUAGACUGACAAUGUGUGAGAUAAACCAGUUUCAACAGGCACACUCUCACAGGUUGAACGACAUAAGUAUAUGAUGCCAUGUAGCCUAGCAACCCCAAACAUACAUGAGCUGUGGUUGAGUAGUGAGAUUUGAGGGACAGACAUAGGUGACAAAUUGUUUGAAACCACUUAUGAGGGAGAAAGGCCCUUGAACUUGUAGAGUCUAGUAGGGCCCCAGUGAACUCAAUUUUUUGGACUGGAAGUAAUGUAGACUUUCCUUUGUUGAAGAUGAGCCUAAGUUGAUCGAAAAGAGACAGUCUGAAUUGGACGUGAUGGAGGACUUGGCGUUCAGACUUGCCCCUCACUAGCGAAUUGUCCAGUAAGGGAAGCCCCAAAUCCCCAUUCUCCUGAGAUGGGACAUCACUCCAGUCAUGCACUGGGUGAAUACAGCCGGGACUGAGGACAGGCCAAAAAGGAAUACAGUAGAACCUCAGAGUAACUAACACCUCAGGAAUGGAGGUUGUUCGUAAUGCUGAACAAAAUGUUCUGGUUGUUCUUUCAAAAAUUUACAAGUAAACAUUCUUAAUAGAGCUUCGAAACUUUA